rnacentral:rRNA from 1 species
UGGGGAAUUUUGGACAAUGGGCGCAAGCCUGAUCCAGCAAUGCCGCGUGCAGGAUGAAGGCCUUCGGGUUGUAAACUGCUUUUGUACGGAACGAAAAGCCUCCCUCUAAUACAGGGGGGUUGAUGACGGUACCGUAAGAAUAAGCACCGGCUAACUACGUGCCAGCAGCCGCGGUAAUACGUAGGGUGCAAGCGUUAAUCGGAAUUACUGGGCGUAAAGCGUGCGCAGGCGGUUUUGUAAGACAGUGGUGAAAUCCCCGGGCUCAACCUGGGAACUGCCAUUGUGACUGCAAGGCUGGAGUGCGGCAGAGGGGGUAUGGAAUUCCGCGUGUAGCAGUGAAUGCGUAGAUAUGCGGAGGAACACCGAUGGCGAAGGCAAUCCCCU